rnacentral:lncRNA from 1 species
UUUUUAUUAAAAAAAGUACAUAAUUUUAUUUUUUAAAAUAUCUUUUUAUUAAAAAUGAAACAAAUCCAGAAAUAUGAUGAAGAUGUUCAUCAUCUUCAUCUUCUUCCUUUGAAUCUUCAUCAUCUUCAUUGAAUCAAAAAAAUUUCUAUACAAAUAUAUCUUCAAAUAUCAUGAAUUAAUGUUAUAUUCACCUCAAAUCUUCUUUUAAACACAAAAAUCAAACUCCUAUAGAAAAAGAGAUUUAGUUUCAUCACAAAAAAAAAAAAAAAAAAAAAUUAGUUAAAUAAAUUGUCACGCUGUAUAUUAUUAUUAUUAUUAUUAUUAUUAUUAUUAUUAUUUUCUAACUCAAUAUUCAAGUCGGACAUAAAAAUAACCUCAAAAUUGAUAGCAGCUUUGCACAUCAAUUUUGUUGUUUCCAGAACAAUCUUAAUUUUCGUAAAGCCUAACCCUUCCGCCAGUGACUAAGCCUCCACCAUCCGCCUUGCAACAUUUGUGAAAUUAAGGUUUUGAUUUUUGUGUUUAAAAUAAGAUUUAGGGUGAAUAUAACAUUAAUUCACGAUAUUUAGAGAUAUAUUUUAGUAGAAUUUUUUUUAUUUAAAGAAGAUGAUGAAGAUUCAAAGGAAGAAGAUGAAGAUGAUGAACACCUUCAUCAUAUUUUUGGAUUUUUUUUCAGUUUUAAUAAAAAUAUAUUUUUAAAAAUAAAAUUAUGUAUUUUUUAAUAAAAAAAUGCGAAAAAAGAUGUAUAUGUGCUAUUAAGAGAGAUAAAGGACCUAAACGUGAAAAAAUAAAGACAAAGGACCAAAGUGUUACAAAUAAAUAAGAUAAAUGACCCAUAAUGUAAUAUUGCCUUAAUUAUAUUUAGGUGUUCAGUCUUAAUUAAUUUCCACUACAUGACUGGCUUAGAACAAUUAAAAUUUCACAUCAAAUUUCUUUCAUCUGAAUGUCAUUAAAUUUAUCAGUUAUAUUCAUAAAAUUUAUUCCUCCCAUUUUGAUUGUUCAAUUUGGUCGUUCCCAACUGCCGCAUUUUUAAAUUUUCGUGAGAAUCGUCAUGAUUUCAAAUAUCGUGAGAAUUGCCGUUAUUUCCAGUACAACGUCAGGUAUGAUGACUUGAUUUUUCUUUUUGAUUUGAUUUUUCUUGGUUGUGAGGUAGUUAAUUAUAACAAUUGAGUAAAUCAUCCGUUGUAAUUUGAGGGCUGCUAGCAGGUGUUGCCGCUGUGAUGUUGUGGGAGUUUGCUAGCAUUUUAUUAGGUUGGCUGCUUAAAUAAAAAAAAUAAGUCACGAUACCUGACGCGGUUCUAGAUACAACGACAAUUGUCACGAUAAUUGGAAAUUGCAGCAAUUUGUAACAACAAAAUUGAACAAUCAAAAUGGGAAGAAGAAUGAAAAAGAAACAAAAAUUGAUCAAUAUGGAAGAAUAAAGAAGAAGAAAUUUGAAAGAAUGAGAUGUUUUUGUUCUCACGUUCGGGGUUCUGGAAUGGAAGAAAUUUUAUGAAUGUAAAUGAUGAAUUUAAGGACAUACAGAUGAAAGAAAUUUGAUGUAAAAUUUUAUUUGUUAUAAGUCUUGUAGUGUAAAUUAAUUAAGAUUGAACACCUUAAUAUAAAAAAAGAAAAAUUAAAUCAUUUGUUGUUUCAAAAAAAAAAUUAAAUAAAAAUUAAAAGUAUUAAAAGUUACCUUAUGAUUAAGAUUAACUCUCCUUCAAAAAAAAAAAAUUAAGAUUAACUCUUUUAUUUUUAGAAAAAAUCUACUCAUUUAUUUGACAUCUAAUGUUACCUAUAUAUAUUACAUUUUGAUUGGUUGAUAUCAUGAGAUAGUAAAUUACCCUCUAAACAAGAGAGGGUAACGUAGGCCUCACCUGUCUUGUAUGAGUAGUAAAUAGUAACUAGAUCCCCUAUCCGUGCCGACGCACGGGCAUUUAUAGUGUGAAUUAAAAUAUAGUAGAAUAUAGCACAUAAUAUAUGUACAUGUUGAUAAAUAGUUCCAAGCCAAUCUCAUAUAGUAACAAAUAAAAUUAAGCAUAAUAUGAAAAUACAAUUAAUGAAAAUGUUAGAUAAAGUGAAUUACAAAAUAAGCUAAAUGAUUCUUAUAUUAUAGGCUUAAUUACACUUUUGGUCCUCGUAUUUUGGCCUACUCACAAUAUCGAUCAUGCUCUUUUAAAACAGAAUAAAAUUGUCCUUCAGUUAUCAUUUUUGUUGCACUUUUCGUCCUACCCUCCAUUUUAUCCUCCAAAAACGCUGAUGUGUCAGAAUUUUAAUUGAUUGGCAAAUAAAACACCUAUAUGGCAUUGCAUAUGUGAAAAAUAUCAUUUAUAAAAUUGAAGAAAUUAAUUAUAUUAUUAUGGAAAAACAUUUUAACAUUUCAUGGAAAAUUAAAAGAUCAAAUUAAAACAAAAACAUUUCAUGGAAAAUUAAAAGAUUAAAUUAAAUAAAUUUUGGCUUCCAACAAUAAAACUAAAAACUUAAGAACAUUCAUCUUCUUCAUGAUCUUCAUCUUCAACCCUAAAAAACCAUCACAUACCAACAUAUCUUUUUUUCUCUUAUCUCACAUCUCUUGUUAAAGCAACUUAGAAAGACAAAGAAGACAAAAUCUAAGCGAGAAAACAUGUUGUCUUCAGAAACUAAUGCCAUGGGCUACGGCGAUGGCGGAACCACUUUUUGUGGUGUUUUUGAUGACUUGGAGAAGCUGAACAGAAACCAAGCAUUACAGAUUUUGGUGAACUCACCAGUUGCAAAAACAAAGCUUUGUGAACAAUGUUAUUGUGUUUUCUCCAUGGAACAAUUCUCUUUGCUCAGAAAAUUAUCAUAGAAAAGACAACAACAACAACAUAAUUUUUCUGGUCAUCAUUCUUCAAAAAAUUUAUUUCAUUGAAGAGUAACAAACAAAACGACGCCGUUUCGUUUUGUGUUCAAGUUUUUUUCAAAUGGGUUUUGCCACGAAUCUGGGCGUGGGAGGGAUAGAUAUGGUGCGGAUGAUGGAUAUUAUGUUCUUGACCGUGCUGCAGCAAUGCCUUUUACGAGGAUUUUUUGUGGGUGAAAAUGGUGAAGAAGUAGUGUUAAGGGAUCGAAGAUAAGUGGGUGUGGGUGAAAAGGAGAGGAACACAAGUGGUGGUGGGUGUUGAUGAUGGGAGAAAGUUGUGAUGUUGUUAAUUUUUUGUGCUAAAGAAUAAGAGAUGAAUAUGAAUGGUGUUGUUAAUUUUUGUGUUUGUUGCUAAGGAUGAAGAUAGGAAUAUGAGUAGUGUUGUUUAUUUUUAAUUUCAGAUUUAUAUUUUUGAUUUAUUUUCUAAUUGUUAAUUUAUAUACAUGUGAUUAUUAAUUAAUUAUAAAUAUGAUUUGGGAAUUAGGAUUUAUAUAUUUCUUUUAAUUUAAUUUCCUUUUUUCUUUCAAUUUGUUUUUGUUUGAAUUUAUGAAAUGUUUAUAUUGUUUUUUUAAAUUAAAAAUUGUUUUUAUCAUGACAUGUUAAUGUCAUUUUCUAAGUUGGCACUGUCACAUGGUUGUUCCUUUGCCAUAUCAGCAUUUUUGGAGGGUAAAAUGGGGGGUAUGACGAAAAGUGCAAUUAAGCCUAUAUUUUUGAAGGAUGGUUUUGUUCUGUUUUAAAAUGGCAGGACCAAUUUUGUGAGUAGGGCAAAACACGAGGACCAAAAGUGUAAUUAAGCCUAUAUUAUAUGUAGAAGUUCAUACCUUCUGAAAUACUUCGUUGUAUACGACAUUGGUUGUGUUAUCAAUGCAAUCACCGUUUUCAUCAGUUAUGAGUAUUUUCAAACCUUUCCUUAAUGUUACCUUGGAAACUGCGACAUAUAAUUGGUCGUGAGAGAAUUCAAAAUGUUUUGAUUGGAUGUGUUUGCAAAAUUGUUUUAGACAGUUAACUUACCACAAUUAAAUUCAUAAAAGUAUUCCUAGAUAAUAUAAACCAAAAUCAACGCCCUCUGUUUUGACAGAAAGGUAAAAUAAACAACCACCAUUAUUCACUGGAUCAAUUGAAAAAGUUUUGUUGUGAUCCAUAUACUAUAUAUUGACUUGUUAAAAGCAUGUCAUAUUCAAAAUAUUCAUUCAUUCAUUGUAUCAGUCACUUGCUAAAGUUUUGCUAAAAUUAUGAAAACUAACACCCUAAGAAACCUACAUUGCAUGUAAAUAAGAAGAAAGGUACUUUCUUGUAAAUUAAUUGAUGAAAUUUGGAUGAUUUUCGAGCAAAUUGAAGUUUGGGUGAUUUUUGGUUAUAUUUUACAAGUUUUGAAUGAGUUGUUGUAACCAGAAACUGGAGGUUUCUGCGUUCUUAAAAUACAAAACGUAACGGCAGUUAACAACCGCUGGGUUCAGCGGCAGUUAACUACCGGCGGUUCUUUCAACGGUAGUUAACUACCGCUGGGGUUUUUCUAGUAAUUACUUGUGUAAAUAGGAAGUAUUCCAUGUCAAAAAAACAAUUUUCUAAUGAGGUGAACAAAAUGAAGUGAACCAAGAUAAUAGAAAAGGUUUGGCCCAAAAUUAACAGUUGAGAUUAGCAUAAAUUGAAAUUAACGGCCAUCAAACAUUGGCGCCCAAAUUCAAUAGGAUUAGGGUUUGCAAAUUUUGUUAAUAGUGUUAUUCAUAUAUUAGAAAUAAUAUGAGUAUGAUAAGAUUAAGAUAGUAUAAAUUGAAAAUUAUAUUUAAAAUGGGCUAAGAGUGGUUUUGCCCAAUCUCUAUCCAUUAGGUUAGAUGAACUAACCAGUUAACUCUAAAAAUGGUUUCGCAAUCAAUAAGGUAUAAAUUGAAAAUGAUAUUUAAGAGUGUGUGCAACUGGCUCGGUCAUUUCUAUUUCUAAUUUCUAAAUAAAUAACAAGGCUAAAAUUCUCUCUCAAAAAAAAAAAACAAGGCUAAAAUAAUAAAGAAAUAAACAAAUAAUAAAAUAAAAUUUACAUAAAUAUUAAUUUUAAAAAGACUUCAUUCUUAAAGUUUGUUUUAGAUCUCAACAGUAUUAGUUGAGACGACUCUACUUGAUAAGGAAACUAAGGUGGCUCGUCCUAAAUUCUCAAUUAAGGUUGGCUUAUUAUAGUUAUAAUUGUACCUUGAAUCAAGAACUGGUCGAAAUUAUUAGGCUCUCCAACCACUGCUCCAUGUUUGUUAGGGUUGUUAUUGGGAAAAACCUAAGUCCCACAUCGGAUAGAUAAGACUCCUGAGAAGAGUUUAUAAAGAGGAGGCAAUCAUCACCUUACAAGCCGGUUUUGUAAGGAAGAGUUAGGCUCCAAAUUUCAACAUGGUAUCAGAGCUUGUCGAAUUCAAGGGCCACCUAAACCUAUUCACGCACCAAGCCCAAAGAGUGCUGGGGGUGAGUGCUGGGCGUGAGGGGGGUGUAUUGGGAAAAAGGAGGCAAUCCUCACCUUACAAGCCGGUUUUGUAAGAAAGAAUUAGGCCCCAAAUUUCAACAGUUGUCACGCCACUUCCAACCAUCGCUGCAUCAGUAUUUUUGUCAUCGUUAAUUUGAAACUAAUGCACCUCUAUGAUGAACAUGUCUUGGAAUCUUGUUUCUGUUUCCAUACCCAACUAUGUAAUGUAGCUCAUAUUCAUUGGAUUGUUCCCCAUGAUGUAAUCCAUUUGUUUUAUGGGGAUGUAAAAAAAUCAUAAUGUUAUUUUUCAACACAAAAAUAGAAAAACGUUUUUUAAACAACUUAAUUUAGACAAAUUUUACGAUAACAUGUCAAGUGAUUAAUGCAGUUCAGAUGGGUGAUUGAUUAUGUACAAUAGAUGGUUAAUGAAUAUGUCAUGUGUUGAAACUCAUUAAUUUGUUUAUGAACCAUUUACUCAAUGUAAGUAGUUAUUUAUAUGAUCGACAUUAAUCACUUUAAAAGUUGUAUGACUUGGAUGCAGGGGCGAAUGCUUGUACAAGAGAGGGGUAGCCAAUGCUUGUACAAGAGAGGGGUAGCUAUGGCUACCCCAAAAAAAAAAAAAAUUGAGUUAGUAGGUAUAUUUUUAUGUUUAGCUACCCCUAAUAAUAUAUAUUUGGCUAUCCCAAGUUCGAUUUUAGGUGUAAUAAUUUUUUAUGACUUUUGUUACUUUCGGGUGGCCACCUCAUAAAAUUAUUGCUAGCUUCGCCACUGCUUGGAUGUACAAAUAACACAACUUACCAAAAUAAUUGAAUAACAAAUAAAAUCAAGUGAAGGAUACAAUACCCAAGAGAUUUAUAAAUGCUUUUAGAACAUAUAUUUGAAAGUAAUUAUGGCCACAAAACCAUCCAAGAACGUCUAUGUCUUAGCAAAAAGAUAUGCUAAAAAUGCAACAUUGACAAAAUAUUGGAGAGAUUUUGGCUGUCUGUGGUUGAAUUGCAUCAAGCCCCCUGAAAGUCUUCUUGUUGGCAUGUACUAUAUUAUGAUCUCUUUGAACAAUAAUGUUUUAAAUUCUUAUUGCAAUAACACCACAAAUAUUUACAUUAAGGAAAAACAUAAUUAAUGCAAUUGAAACUGUGGUCCCAAUGUCGUUGCAUAAAUUUCAAAAACCCUUUACAUUUCGACCACAAUUGCAGUUGUGGAUCACUAUUUAAAACUGUCUCACAACCACAAUUGAUAGGCCGAAUAAUAAUAAAAAAAUAACAAGGCAAAAGUUACAUGUUAAUUAUUAAGUUACCAUUAGUCUAGUUAACAUUGAAUUGAUGUAGAUAAGAGCCCGUGGUAAGACCAAUAGAUAUGUGGUACAUACUCAACAUUUCCUCAUUAGGGUAACCAAACUUAUGAAACCUCAUCAUCUUUGUUAGCAACAACAUUGCAGCAGGUAACUUAAUGUUCCAGCUCAAAAAUUUUAAAUAAGGAAUCUCAUUGAAUGCUUUGUCAUUGAUCUUAUAGAUAGAAGGAUCAGUUGCCAAGGAAAGGUAGUUGUUGUUACCAGUGGCAAAAUACAAUCAAACACCGCCCCCACAUGUACUCAUCAAAGUAGUCAGUUGAGUUAUAAUAAGGCUCAAUGCAAGGUUGUCCAUGAUUGUAGAGUUUCCUUUUAGCAAAGUUUCUUGCCAAUGCAAAGAGAGCUUCAUCUCCCUUUAUGAGUUUCUUGGAAUAGGCGAUGUCAUGUUCAAAAAUUAUAUAUCUUACACCCUCCGUUUCAAAAUUAAUGUCUUUAGGCUUUGACAUAUAGAUUAAGAAAUACAAUGAAAUAAUCAUUGGAUAUAAUACUUUUACUAAACUGUCCUUACUUUAUAAGAAAAAGACAAAAUUAAAGUUGCAUUGAAAAUUGUGUGAGAGAAAAGUUAGCGUAUUUAUUGAGGGUAAAGUUGGAAGAAAAGAAUUAAAGUUGUAUUGGAAAUGUAAAGUGACAUUCAUUUUGAAACAAUUUUUUUUAGCUAAAACGACACUCAUUUUAAAACGGAGGGAGUACUAUUAAUGUUGUGCAAUUUCUCCUGCAAGAUGAGGUCCUUCGGAUAUAGUUGUUGGUUGGCGUGGAUAGUCCUUCGGAUAUACCAUUGCAAAUCUAUCUUCUCUCAUUUCUAUCGAAACUUUAGUGACGAAUUUGUAUAGAGACAAACAAACGAAGUUGUUCAUACAUAGCUUGACAAAAGCAGUUAUAUUGUUAGAUAUUUCCAUAUAAUAGUGGAUAUACUAAAUUGUGUUGAACACAUAAGUCAUGAAUGUACACAUAUGAAUGUGACUUAAGGGUUUACUUAAGGGGUACUGGUUUACUACUUUAAUAGAGGUAAAAAUAUAUUUUUGGUAUAAUCGGGGAUGACUCAGGGUAGGUUCAAGGUGAAUAUUAUUGUUCACAUUAUCCGUCUGACCUUUAUCUUUUAAAAUUAGAGAAAAUCCAAACUCAAACCAAACUCAAUCAAUCAUGAUUUUUCAUGUAAAAGUCGGAGCGGGUACCCAUGAGCAUGAAUUCGUCUUCAUUCCAUAAUAUAGAGAUCAAUUGAUAGUAAGUGGUUAAAUUCAUAGACCGAGUUAACAAUUUAAUUGAAUCGAUUAUCUUUUUUAAAUAUAGUAUUCAUAAGAAUUUAAUUAGUGUACACUGUCAAAUGUAUAUUUAUUUUACGCAUAAAUCAAACAAAGGGUUAUCACAUUGAUUAAUGAAAAUAUAUAAAUUGUCAUAUUGAUUAAUUGAUUUGAUGAUACAUUAUUAAUUUACACAUAAUAAUAUAAAAACAAAGUUAUUACCGUAAGGAACAAAAUGAACUCAAAUUCAUAAAUCAAACGCAACACAACGGAAACUCAUUUUGAAACGAACAAUGGACACUGAAUAAACCCAUUUUCCCGCACAAAAUCUCCAAAUAUCACAACAAUGAAAUCACCUCCGUCCAAGUCCAACAACACCGAAACCGAAGAAGAAACCAUUGCCUUCAACAGAAAAAGAGCACGCCGCGUAAGCUUCGCCGAUAACGAAAUCACCUCCGUCCACAUCUUCCGUCCCGACGACGACCACUCCUCUUCCUCCUCCGACAUCCCCGCAGAUACCCUAGGUUUCUUCCGUAAAAUCGGCGGAGACAGCGACGACGAAGUUGAACCGCGCCAAAACCCUACUGAUGACGCUGCUGAAGUCGUAGAUCAUCGGAACUCCUUCCUGCAACCGAUUGGUUCUCCUUCUCCCGGUGGAAGUAGCAAUAACGCUGAUGACGACAGUGAUGGUUAGUCUUAACCUAAUAUCGUUUAGUUAAUUGAUUAGUUUUUAAUUUUUUUUGAUUUUUUUUUACUAAUUUGAUUUUGCAGAUGACGAAUUUCGUGGUCCUGUAUCGACGGAUUUCAUUAAACCGGAACGGCUAUCAGAUUCCGGUGUCUCCGACGACAUUACGAUGGACUCGACUGCAUUUUCAAUGCAUUACCGGAGUCUUGCUCGUUCGGAUUCAGGGGAUCUUAAAACUCCGACUAGGUUUGAAGCGACGGUGACUACAGCCGUUCAAAGCAGUGCCACAUCGGGGAGUUUGAUGGAUUUUACCGACGGUGAUAAAAAAACGCCUCAGUCGCCGGUGGUGGCGAGUGCUAGCGGGGAUUCAGAUGCUAUGAGUAUUGAAGGGGAACAAGGAAGAAAAACCCAUGAUUAUGGAAGACUCUCUCCUAAGUUGGUUGCAAUUUUGGCACAGGGAAGUAAGGAUUUGGAUGGUGUUUCGCUGUUAGGUUCAAAAGCUACGCAAUCACCAAAUGGAAAUGAUAUUGAGGUUUUACCUGAUUUGGCAUGUUCAGCUAACUCGCCUGUUCGUCGAAUCACCCUUGAUAGUGCAAUUGCUUCUGCUUCUGAGUCUUCAACCAAGGUUCAAAAUCUUCUACGUCAUUAAAUUAUAUGGUCAUUUAUUUUUUGCAGUUUUCUCAGUUGACUUGUUUGUUGUUUGCUUCAAAGUUUUCCUUUCAAGUUGAAGGGACAAUUUUAUCGUACAACUGUAUGACCGGCGGUAUUGUAGGCGAUGGAGUGUUGGGUGGUAAAGAACCAACACGAGAAUAAAAUAAAGAGAUAAGAUAAAGACGUUGUGUUGGUUGUGUGGUAAGACUAGACAAUAUAGGAUUAGAAAUGACCACAUUAGAGAGAGUUGGAGUAGCAGCUAUCGUAGAAAAAAUGGCGGAAACUCGGCUUAGGUGGUUUCUGCAUGUAGAGAAAAUAGAUGUAGAUUAUGUAGUAAGGACAGUUGAAUAGACGGAGGGUAGUCAAAUCACCAGAGGCAGAGAAAGACCUAUAAAAACGAUAAGGGAAACUAUUAAGAAAGACUUAGAAAUUAAUGAGUUAGAUAAAGAUAUGAUAAAUGGUAGAACAUUAUGGCGUCGUUUGAUCCAUUUAACCGACUCCACUUAUGGAGGGUAGUCAAAUCACUAGAGGCAGAGAAAGACCUAUAAAAACGAUAAGGGAAACUAUUAAGAAAGACUUAGAAAUUAACGAGUUGGAUAAAGAUAUGAUAAAUGGUAGAACAUUAUGGCGUCGUUUGAUCCAUUUAACCGACUCCACUUAUGGCGUCGUGCAUUUAUUACAUUGAAACUUUAAAAAUUGACUUUUGCUUCAUUAAACUCAUCAAUUAUUUCUAUUUUUGUCUUCUUAACAAGCACCCUUAGCAUAACCCAUUGUAAUAUAUCAAAUUCUAGUUGUGCAUGGUUUAUGAUGACACUGUUGUGGUUGUGGUAAUUGAUAAGUGAUAUUUGUUAUUUUCAUUUCAGAACACCAAGGAGUUUGUUAAUGAUGCAACUCCGUUAGCUUUUAAACAAUUGAGCUCUGCUAAGGCUAAUAGAAGAACCCCACCAAAGAUGGAUAAAGGUGAUAAGUUAGCCACAGAUUCACCAAUUGCAGUUCAUGUGGAGGUUUUACCCACCAUGGAAAGUUCAGUUAACUCUCCUGUUCAUCAAAUCACCCCAGUUGCUUCUGCUUCCAAGUCUUCAACCAAGGUUGAAAAUAUUCUAGGUCAUUAAAUUAUUUGUUCAUAUGUUUUCACUCAACAUUCUUUUUUCAUGGUAGCCUAAAGUUGUUACAUUUGUUCAAUGACUGUUGUCUGAGUGCAAGGAGCUUGUUUCUACUUAACCUUAGCCUCAUGUUCAAGUCUUUAUGAUUGGAAAAACAUAGGCAUUGAGAUAACUUUGCAUUCUUGUGUGUGUCCAUUUAUAUGACUUGGUAAUUGAAAUAGUUUGGGAACACUGAAGGUGUUGGAAUUAAAGAUCUUGCAUUCUGCUGGAAUCAAUGUUGGUUUGAUUAUUCUUGUUGACUGUUGUCAGUUCUCCCAGUUGACUUGUUUCCUGUCUGCUUCAAAGUUUAUUUUAUUUUAUUUUAUUUCAGAUUUUAGGGUCCUUUACCUUUAGUUAGUUGCAGAUAAAUAUUGUAAUACAUCAAAUUAUGGUUGUGCGUGGUUUAUGAUGACACUGUUGUGGUUUUUGCUGUCCUUGUAUAUGCUAUUGCAUCUGUUGAGUUGUGUAAAUGCAUGGCAGUUGUAAUUGAUAAGUGAUAUUUUUAUUUUCAUUUUCAGAACAGGGAGUUUGUUAAUGAUGCAACUCCAUUAUCUUUUAAACAAUUGGACUCUUCUAAGGCUAAUAGAGGAACCCCGCCAAAGAUGGAUGAAGGUGAUAAGUUAGAUUUGGCUGCUAAGUAUGAACUGGGUUUCUGUGAAGUCCCCAUAAAAGAGAGUAAUUCUAAAGAUAGGGGACAUGUGACUGACUCUAAUCAUAAGUCCGAUCAAGUUACUGGAAAUCAUCCAGUACAUGAGUUUACACCAUUGUCACUUUCUGCAAAUAAAGUAGUAUUUAUGGGUUCUUCUGAUUCAUUCAGAUGUACCGGAAAUAUAACUCCUCCCUUAAAGCAAUCUGGUUUGCUUGUGCCUGAGGUACAUGUCGAAAAUAGUGCAACUUUGUUGUCCAUACAUAAAAGCAUUUCAAAGUUGAAAACUCUUAAGGCUACCCCAAACACCUCUACUCUCAAAGAAGGAACUGACAAAUUGAAACUUAGGUUUUCAAAAUAUUCCCCAGGGACUUCUUUCUUUGGUGAAAGAGAUUUUGAAAACAAGCAAGUUGAAACUCUUACUGCUCCUUUGGUGGAAGAGCCGUUUAGUUUAACUCUCGAGAAUAACAUGAAUCGAAGUUUUAUCAACACCGACGAUCGUGUAGUUGAUUCUUUGAUUUCGGCCAAUGUUUCCUACAAUGAUGAAAAUCUUGAGCCUGUGAUUGGUGCUUCUUCCUUGCUUAAGACUCGUAUAACAAGAGUGGCAGAUUUUGACCUGGCAGAUGGCACAGUCGAGGAAAAAAAUGAAGUUCUAACCACUACGCAUGCCAAACCUUUUGCUUCCCCUGUAAAAUCAUUUGGCCAUACUUUAUCGCCAUCAGUAGAAUGUCAAAGUAAUUGCCAUGUUGAGUUGAAGCAAACGGAUAUGCAGAAUGAAUCUUUUAAUGGUGGUUUAGGACAGGCCAUUGAAUACGACAAACCGACAGCAGCUAAAAAAUUGGAUUUGUCUGGUGAUGGAAAUAGUGAACAGCCUAACUCACCUUUUGAGGAUGCACAGGUCAGCAAACUGAUUAAGGUAAAUUACAAAAGACAUAGAUGAUUUACUGAUACUUUUUUCAUUUAUAUAUUUAGUCUAUUUCCUUAGUUCAAUGCCCCCACUUUUUAUGGUUGUGAUAUUUGUAAGUGUAAUUACAUUUCAGCAGAAUCACGUUUGUAAAUUCUAAUCAUUAAAAUUUGUAAACCCUACUUCAGUUUUCUCUAUUUUGUCUAGACAAGUAAAAUAUGUCAUGGCUAUGUAUUUUUACAAAAUUAAAAUUUAGACUCUUGCAAAAACAUAUGGGUAAAGGUGUGUCUCUACAGAGGUCAAAACAUUGCCUCCAGUGGAAGACUGAUUUUUCUUUCUUUUAUGAUGCUAACAUGUCAGUUCUGUGCUUCUGAAUUGUUAUGAUUUCACCUUAUAUGAUGCUUGUAUGAUUUAGAGCACAUUGAAGGGAAAACCGCCCAGGAGUCCUUGUAAUAGAUUUCUAGAUCUAAGCAGUCCUAUCCAAGAAUUAACAACUGUGUUGCCCUCCCUGCAAGAACCUCCUAGUGAUAUCCGAGACUUGUCUCACAGGAUUAAUUCUGAUGGGAAUGGUGUUGAUCUUGAUAACAACGGCUAUCCGGCACCCCAAGUAGCUCAGAGCCCUCUUACCGAAACUGGUAUCAAGGUUUCUUCUGGGAAGAAAAUGAAAGGCGUUGAUCUUGAUAACAACUUUCAUCCGGCACUCCAAGUAGCUCAGAGCCCUUUUACCAAAACUGGUAUCGAGGUUUCUUCUGGGAAGAAAAGGAAAGGUGUCGAGUUUUUAAGUGAUAUCCGAGACUUGUCUCACAGGAUUAAUUCUGAUGGGGGUGGUGUUAAUCUUGAUAAAAACUGCCAUCCGACACUCCAAGUAGCUCAGAGCCCUCUUACCAAAACUGGUAUCGAGGUUUCUUCCGGGAAGAAAUGGGAAAGUGUUGAUCUUGAUAACAACUGCCAUCCGACACUCCAAGUAGCUCGGAGCCCUCUCACCAAAAGUGGUAUCGAGGUUUCAUCUGGGAAGAAAAGGAAAGGUGUCGAGUUACUAAGUAAUUUCCGAGACUUGUCUCACAGGAUUAAUUCUGAUGGGCAUGGUGGUGAUCUUGAUAACAUCUGCCAUCCGGCACUCCAAGUAGCUCAGAGCCCUCUUACCAAAAAUGGUAUCGAGGUUUCUUCUGAGAAGAAAAUGAAGGGUGUCAAAUUAUUAAGUGAUUUCCAAGACUUGUCUCGCAGGAUUAAUUCUGAUGGUCAUGUUGUUGAUCUUGAUAACAACUGCCAUCCAGCACUCCAAGUAGCUCAGAGCCCUCUUACCAAAACUGGUAUCGAGAUUUCUUCUGGGAAGAAAGGGAAAGGUGUCGAGUUAUUAAGUGAUGGAGACAAUAUAGAGAAGACAGGGAGGACUGACAGAAAUCCAGAGGUUCAUAAAAGUGGGGAUGGAGAUCUACAGUUUGUUUUGGAGCAAACAGGUUCUAUGGGAAGUGAAAGAGAAAAGUUUGGAGAUCAGAAGUGGGAUGAUUUGGAUCAUGUAUGGUUACUGCUUUAUGUUGAUAAUUAGUUAGAAAUUUGUUGUUUUAUUGGGUCUCUUAAGUUUUUACUUUUCAACUAUCUUGCAGGUUAUAAAAAAAUUCUCAACCAGCACAAAACAAUUGCUUUCUCCGUCAUUUGAUAAGCUAAAUUUGAGAUUGGUAUGUUCUAAUAUAUGGUUGUAGAAUUAGAAAAAUUGUGGAUAUUGCUUCGUGCUUUUUAAUCAUUCACAAUUAUAUUAUCAUAGCUAUUUAUACAACGUUGGAUCUAAAUAUUUAGAUUGGCACGCUGGAAGAUAUUUUGGUUCAUCUGCAGAAAGUUAAGAAAUGGGAUAUUCUUUCUUCUGAAAUUCAUUCUCAGGUCUGUUGGAUUAGAUAAUCGAAUUUAGUGCACUAAGCUAGUUAUAUUAUAUCAUGAACAAGAUUAUAUUUGAAAUGAUUAGUACAUCUAAGGGCAUGUUUCCUUUGAGACAACAUUGUCUGUUUUCACUUUUAAUUACAAAAAAUAUCAUGUUGUUUUCACCUUAUUUGUUGAUUUCAAAGAUGUGUAUAGGAUACCCUGAAAAUAAUAAAUAAUUAUUUUUCAACUAUUUCCUAUACAGACAUUUGAAAAUAAAAAACAGUGUGGCAAUUGUGUUAAUAAAAGUGAAAACAGGAAAUGAAAACAAAAAUAUUUUCUCAAAUCAAACUUACUCUAUGUUUGGAAUUUCCUGUUUCUUAUUGACAUGGUUCUUGUUUUUCUUUCAGAAGAAAUUAAUGGAUCCUCUAAAUAUUCGCAGACGCAAAAGGUACAUAUAAGCUGUUUGACUAAGUCACUAUGUGGGGAUUGUGUUAUUCAUACUCAAGUUUAUGGAACUUAUUUUUAAAUGUUGAGUAUUUCUUUUGCAGAAUUGUGGAAAUGAAAAUGUUGCUUUUUAAUAUAGCAUAUGAGAAGUCUAAGCUGCAAUUAAUGAAUGCUAAGCGUGAGAGAUUACUGGUAUUCUCUCUUACACAUUAGUCUUAGUAUUUAGCAAUACUUGCUAUUGGUGAUACAAACUUUCGUUAUUCACAGAAAAAAGUACAACAGCUGAGUUCUGGGCUUCAAGAGACGCAGAUGAUAAAAAAUUCCAUGUCAUGUUCUGCUAAGAGUAGACCGGUUGACAUUCAAGCUGAUGGUAGUCACAUCAAUACAAGAUUUUUUAAUUCCCAAGGAAAAUCUCAGGUAUAAUUAUGUGUGAUUCAUUUUAAGUGACCUAGUGAUAAUAGCUUGAAAAUUAUUAUGAUACGCUUUCCAUGGUGUAACUGAUCUUCAAAACCUUGAAUUGGUAUAAGAAAUACAUUGAUGAGAGAAUUACACUGAGUUAAGGUUACUACCUUUCUUCCUCUGAUUUCGCAACAGGAGGGAGUUAGCAAUCUUUCGUGAAUAAUGAUUAAUGGUAUCUCUUUUGGACAAAAUACUUGACAUUAUAUUUAAAGCAACUUUGAUUAAUGGUAAAAAUGAAAAAUCUACAGUUUCUACCCUCACACUUCGAUUCCCUUGCUACACAACAUGUCAAUUUUUGAAGGAGCAUUCUUACACAGAUAUCUCUCUAACUAACAUUAAUUCAAUAUUUAUAAGGUGUUAUCUGAAUUGGUGACCUGUUGUCGAAUAGCGGUGCCGGUGCUAUAGCUCUAUUACGUUGCGGAUUUUGAUGAAUCUGCCAGGAAAAACCACGGUGAUAUGCACAUUCUGCUAUAUCAGCCGCUAUAUCAGCAUUUGCAGCCACAGUUGUAAAACUUAAGAGUCAUAGUAUGUGUGCUGCACAUUAAUUGAUUCCCUUGCUACAGAACAUGUCAACCUUUGAUGGACCAUUCUUACACAGAGCUCUCAAUUUCACAUCAAUUCAAUAUUUAUAAGUUGUUAGCUGAAUUGGUGACCCAUUGUCAAAUAGUGGUGCUAUAGCUCUAGUACGUUUGGGGCUUUGAUGAAUCUGCCACGAAAAACCAGAGCUAUGCACAUUCUGCUAUAAGGGAUGUAGGAGCUGCUAUAUUAGCAUUUGCAGCCACUGUUGUAAAACUUAAGAAUCGUAGUAUGUGUGCUGCACAUUAAUCAAUUCAUGUGCAUAAUAAUACUUAACUUUGAACAUUCCCCUUUAAGUGCAGCGUAAAUGUCCGUCAUGCUCACUUUUUACAAAGAUACCCUAUCUUAAUAGUUAUUCCAAUUGAGUGCCUUUGCGAAUAUACCAACUAACUGUUCUAGUGAAUCGCCAAUUUAGCCCCUAUUGUUGUAGGGUGCUGUCAACUAAGUCUCUUAAAUUAGUUUAAAGUGAUAUUUGAUUUUUAAGACACACAGUCAUAUUAGUCCCUACCAGACAAUUUUAGGGGCUAAAUUGACUGAUUCAAAAGGACCGACAUGAUAGAAUAUUCUAAAUUUCAGAAAUUAACUUUUAAAAUGAUCCUUAAAACUUAGAUUUUCUCAUGAGUUAAAAUUAUCCUUAAAACGCGAGGGAUAAUUCUCAAUUUCAGAGACGGUUUUGAAAUUUUACCGAUGUUAUGAAUAUGAACAUUUAUGACUUGUCAUUAUAUCUUUAUAUUGGAUAAACGAUGUAUGUCUUUGAACUUAAAAAUGAAAAUUACAAAAUAAAAUCUUGGCUCAAACCAGUUCUUAUCAUCAGUUUUAUGCUGGUUUGAUUAGUUUUUGGGGUUAAAUGAAACAAACACCUCGACAACUCUCUUGGUCGAAUUGGCCUACUAUCAUAUUUAUAUGGACGUUAUAUCCACUGAGCAAUGCCCUUCAAACGUGUUUUUACUGGACAUUCAUAAAUUUAUGUUCAUGAGUUUCCUCUUGUUUGCUUGGAAUAUUUUCCCAUGCGUGUCCCUAGUUUCUGUUUAUAGUUCAUUGGUGCAGUAUGAUGAUAAAAGGUUUAAUAUGUUGUCCAUUGAAUUCCAAUUGGCAAUGUUAGGUUUCUUGCAAAAAAGUGAUUGAAAUGAGGCAGGAGCUUGAAAGUUUGGAUCAGAAAGCAAAACCUUUAAGUGAAUUUUUUUAUAGUUACUGCAAGAUGGAAGGGGAUCAAAGCUAUACCAACGUCAUAAAAUCUGUUCCUGGUUAUUUGGAAAAGAUAAUGUCUUACAAGUUGGAAUUCCAGAAUUUGAAGGUUGUCCGUCUUUAAAUAUUAUUGUUCUUAUCUAUUUACAAGAUAAUAAAUAUUUCAUUUUCUGACCGAUAACUUUGUUUCUACUAUUUGUCAGUUGUGGGAUAUUGAAGAUUUUGAGCGCAAGGAUGACCAUCACAUGAUUAUUCUCAACUAUUGCGGAUAUAUCAUCCAAAGGUUAACUUUGAUUUGUUUCUUUUUUUUAAGGAUUGGAGCUCAAGUGUAUCUUGUGUGACAUUACUGAAUAUGCAAGUGCUUACUUACUUCGAUGGAAUGUAGGUUGACAGUAAAUGCUGGUCUAUCAAGCAUUAUAGUAUCAAAUUGCUUGAAUGAUGCGAAUAUUGGAAAGGUAAUUUGGUUGACAAUUUAUCUGUUUUAUUGUUGUACAUUCAGCAUUCAUACCUUACUGUUUUCUAAUAUGAUACAUUUAGUUUUCAGACCUAUCCGAAUAUGGAUGCUUUCUCUGCAUUUGCGUUUGCCUUAAAUCCACAUACCACUAGCAAACGCACAGGUCGAAUCAGUAUGGCACAAGAAACACAGGUAACUGUUUCUUGAAUAAAGUUUGUUUAAGUUUUUUAUUUCAUAUUUGCUUUAUUUUUAGAGGGGAUCACCAUAUUCAGAAUUUACGUGAUAUGGACUAGAAAAUUUAAACUAAUGGUAUGAAUCUUGUAGUUUAUGAGCUAAGAAAAUUUUAUGUCAAAGAAGCCUUUAAGUAGGAUUAUUCAAAAUUGUUGCCUCUGCCAGUAUCUGUGGUCAUAGAGUCAUAUUGUAUUCGGCAAAAAAUAUUGGGAACCUCACCUUAAUUACCACCUUGUGACUUUUGGCUCAAUUUAAAUCUUUAUGGAAACAAAUCUUGGGAUCCGAAGAUGUUUAUGCUUACCUAUUAUAUUCAUUCAUACCCUUCUCUUGAGAGAAGUGUCGGUGAUUAUACCGCUCUAGCAUAUUAGUCCACUUCACAUAAUUCACAACCAUCUUCCCAGUUUCUCACUUGAGGAGGACAUUGGGAUGGUAAUGGUUGUGGACAUGUGGUACUCAAACUUGACAUUCAGUUGUUGUUAAGGGAAAAGGAAAAGAUAAAAUCCCAAAAUAUAUGAGUGAAUUUGUGUCUCACUUACACUGGAUAUAACAUUUAGGUCAUAUGCAAGGUAGACAAACUCGAGAUCCUAAGUAAGAUUGGAUAGGACCCACGAGAUCGUGAAUCGGGGGAUCGUAACACGGAUCGUAAGAUCCUACCAAAUUUAAAAAUUCAUAUAUAUUCCAUAUAAAUUCAUACAUAUGCAUGCAUAUGAAGCAACACAAUUUAAUAGAAAAAACUUCAAAUAACAGUUAUAUUCAUUAACAGUAGCACAUUAAAACAACUCUAAAAUUCAAAAUAGUAGCACAUCACACCUAAAAUCAUCUUUGAGAGAGGGAGUUGAGUGCUAUGAAUAUGAGAAUUGCAUUGGUAAGGUUCCAUGAUUUAUGGGUGUAUUGGAAAAUUUCCCUAAUUAUUGAUAGUAGGUGUAUUGGGAAGAUUUUCAAUAAUCAAUGGGUUUAAUGAGGGAAUUAGAAACCGUUUCAGAGAAUAAUAAGAGUGAAAAACUUUUUUUUUUGCAUUUCUGAUUGCAAAUAUGCGUUUGGGGUGAAUCCGGAUCACGAACUCGACCCGGAAACGAAUUUCCGGGAAACGAAACAACAACCGGGUCACGGACCGACCCGCGAACCCGGUUUUCGGGGUUUCAAAAUUGACUCGUCUGAAUCGUACGAUACAAACGCGUUUGCGUUUUUCAACGGCGAUCCAAACCGCAACCACCAAAAAGCGAUUCCGACGACGUUCUGGCACGGCGAGGGGAUGUGAGAUUGCGAACUCGAACGAUCCUACGAGUUGGAUCGCGAGUUUGUCUACCAUGGUCAUAUGCACCACACACAUUACAUAUAUAACUUGUUGGAAGACCUCCCAAAAAUUUAGGAUAUGUUUGAAUGGGGAAGGGAGGGCUUACUUUUCAUUUUUAAAUUACAGACGCUACAAAAUGUUUUUGAAAAUAAAUUAAGUGUGAUUGAAGUACUAAAUGAUCAUUUAUCAUGUUAUUUCAAUUUUUUUAAAAUAUCAAACAUAUUUCAAGAUAUAGACUUAGCCCUCCAAAAACCUCUUCCCAAACACAGCCUUAGUGAAAACAUUUUUCAGUUGAUCAUUUGAAUUAUUAAAGUGAGUGGUAAUGUCUCCGGAUAUAACAUUCUCCAAUUUGUCGACCCACUACCUCCAUUAGAAUUGCCGGAUGUCAAUAUACUUGUGGCAGAAAAAUAUAUCCAAAUAACCUAAAGCUUAGUCACAUCCACACCGCCACUGGAACUUCCGGACACUAGCCCAAAAGUGUUGGUUGGUGGUUCGUUAUCGGUGAUGAAGAUUUAUUGUGGUGAAGAAGGAAAAAAGACAGCAGCAGAAAUGAUAUUUUGUAAAUUGGACCUAAUUCUAGACUUAAUGGGUUAUGAAAAAAGGUUGUACCUAUCUUGAUCAAUACCACUCUCAAUUGGCCCCUAACCAGAACUCAGUUAUGGUUUUUGAGGCUUUGAGUAUGUUUUAAUAACCAGUACCUGUUGAAUUAGUUCACUGUGUUUGUGGCAAAGUGGAUCAUGCGCAUAUGAUGUUUCAGAAUGAUAAGGUACUAUUGGCAACGAUUGUGCCGUAAGUACUGUAAGAAAGAGAGUAGGUUAAUGCGUUCAGGAUGUCAUUUUCGCUCCUCGCCCGUAGCUUUCUCAUCAUGCUCCCAACAAUGGGAUCCUGAGGGAGAGGUAUCUGUUUUCAACUACUAUGGAACACGAGGAAAUUUAUUAGAUUGCAACAACUUUGAGGACAUAAUUGAAUUUGAACGUGGCGGUAUUCUUAUUUCUGUGUUAGGAUUGAAGGGAAAGCUGGUUAGUUGUAGUUAGGCAGCUGGAUUAGUAAGAGAGGAUUUGUUAAAUAAAUUAAGGUUGGAAGGAUUGAGGGAAUCAUUCUUUAAAUUUUAUAGUUAUAUGUAAAAGGAGAAAUCUUUUGUGGAGGAGAAACCCUCUAGUAGAAUUCUAUUCUUCAUUUCUGGUUCAGUUUUCAAUAAUACACUUCUAUUUGUAACAAAUUGCUUGUGUGAUAAUAAAAUGAAAGGUGGGCACUAGUCCUAUAAAAUCAUCUAAGAUAUUUUUAAAUGUUAUAAGAUGCAAUACAUGAUAUUAUGAGAUGUUUCUGAGAUAUUCUAUUAGGGUUUACUCAUGUACAUAGGAUGAACAUGGACAUCUAACGGUGUGUAAGAAUGUCACAUGCUAUAUCUUCCCAAGAAUAUUUUUUAUCUACCUGCCCACCUAAAUUUCCAUGACGCUAUCCCCAGUAAUCUUUUUCUAUUAUCCCUUUGCUUGCUAUUUCUUGGCUCAAAGCUUUCUUUUCCAACUUCAUGGUGUGUUUUAGCUGACCAGCUAUUUUAUGCAGACAACAGGUUCACUUCUAAGUAAUUUGCUAGAUGUGGUUGAGGAGGUUCAGUUAGCUCGGGUAGACAUUAGAAAUUUGGUCCAAGCUAAGUUCAAUUCUCAUUCAGGUAGGCAAAUUUCCUCUAAAUAUUAUACAAUGUGACAAUGUUUUAAAAAUCAGAUGGUGGCAGUUAUUGAACCAAUGAGACGGUGUUAUUUACUAGUAAAUCCAACCAUUGUUGAACUGUUGAGAAUUAUAUUAUAAUAAUCAAAUAAUAAUUUAUUUUGUUCGAAGAAUUAAUAAACUUAUUUAUACAGUCAUACGAAAUAAAGUUUGAUAAAUAUUUUAAGGGUCAUGUUAACUUGUGCCCUUAGGGCACAUGUUAAGCAUUAAUUUCAUUCCAUUAAUGGUAAUAAUUUAAUGAAAAAUAUCAAUAUUAAACAUUUUAAACAAUAAAUUAACACAAUUUCCAAAAAAUAAUUUCUAUUAAUGGAAUUCUUAACAUGUGCCCUUAGGGCACAAGUUAACAUUUCCCAUAUUUUAAAUUAACUUAAAACCAUAUUAUAUGUCUUGCAAGACAAAAGUUGAUCAAUACUAAGAGGCUAAAUAAUAUCAGAACCAAAUGCAUAUGCCAGCCUCAUACAUGUCCCUAAAUUAAUUUUAUUCACUUUCAGUCUCUAUUUGAAAACUUCUUACAAAGAAUGAGUGCUUUUACUCCCUCAAAAUAGUCCCUAUAAAAAAUAAAAUUGAAACAAAAUGUGAUUAAAAUUUAUUUAGAUAUUGAACUUCAAGGGCCAUGAUUUAUAAGGACUUUAUAAAUAUGUAAUCUAUAUAUAUACAUUUGGAUGGAUUAAAAAGAAAAAUUGAAAAAAUUAGUUCAAGCAGCUUAUACUGGAGAAACCUCCAUUGCCGAAUUUCUGCUUGUUUUUUUACCAGGUUGACCUGUACCCACUGGUUUUGAUUAAGGACUUUAUAAAUAUGUAAUCUAUAUAAUACAUUUGGAUGGAUUAAAGAGAAAAAUUGAAAAAAUUAGUUCAAGCAGCUUAUACUGGAGAAACCUCCAUUGCCGAAUUUCUGCUUGUUUCUUUACUAGGUUGACCUGUACCCACUGGUUUUGUAAUCAGUCAGUUUUUAGGGGAUUGCAAUUGAACAGAACCAGUCCUUAACCAGUUCAUUGGUUACCCCAUCAAACUGGCCAGUCCAGCCCGGUUAAUUUUUAAAACCAUAAUAUGAACCUUUUAUCUGCAGAAAAUUCUUCCCAAAUUAAUUGGUAUUGGUUACUACCUUCCAUGUUUGACUUCAAAUCAAACAGGUGUUUCACACUGUCUAUUUCAUACUGUUUUUGUAGUUCAUCAACUUGAUUUGCAGCUAUCUUUCAUUGACUUCUGUGGUGGGAAGAAGGUGCAAGUGAUUCUCGAUAUGACAUGCUUAAAAUGGUAAUCCUGCAAUUUUGUUAACAUUAACCUUUAAAUGAUUUUUCUUUGCUCGGUUAAUUCUUUGCUACUAAGGAUGUCUUUGGUCAGCCAAAAAAUUAUGUUUUGACAAAUAAAACUAAGUGUUCUGUGUUUGAUUUGAAAAUGGUCAUGGAACAAGACAAAAGUCUUGAAUUUUGUUAGUAAGUGAAUUAGGAGACAAAUUUUUUGUGUAAUGCACAUCAUCCAAAAGAAAAGAAAAAAUUCCACUUUUUCUUCCUCUUAAUAAUAACUCUUCGCUGAGUGUCCUCUCUUCCCCAACCUUUUACUUCCAUCAUUUCUCCCCCUUGUUUGAGACUACUAUUCUGCUUUUGUUGUACUCGAACAUGUAUCAAACGUACCCUACGUAUUGUUUGUUUUUUGCUCAAGUGUUCCUAUCAUAUAAGCACUGUACAGGAGUCACUUAAAGCUGAGACUGCUUAGUAUUCAAUCUUUCCAACUUCCAUUUGCUCAAGUGUUCCAAUCAUAUAAGCACUGUACACGAGUCACUUAAAGCUGAGACUGCUUAGUACUCAAUCUUUCCAACUUCCAUUUAGAUCAUUCAAGUUUUGACUCAUGCUUAACACACAUGCCGCAAAAGUUUCCAUAAAAUUUACAUCUAUUGUGAUACGAUGAUGCUCUAAUUGCCCUCACUCAGCUGAAUCAAUGCUCAUUUAUGUUUUGGAUAUCAUUAAUAUGAAUGCUAUUUUUAAACAUUUGGUUUUAAGUGUGGUGAUAUUCCCGCAUGUGAUCAGCUUUAUGAUUAUAUUUUCUUGGUAUUUGUUACUUGUAAUGAAAGCCACUGAUUUAACAAUUGGUUUGAGCAGUGGGGCCUAUCCUGCUGAGGUUCUUCCAUCUCAAAUAUAUGAUCCUGCUGCUAGUGGGGAACAAAAGGCUCUUCCUUCGUCGCUUGUAGAUGAAAUAAGAACUGCAGCUGAGAGUGUGAGCGUGGGGUAUUCAAGAAUUAUUAGGCUGUGUAGGCGCAUUUCCCAGGCAGUUCAGGGUUGCACUAAAGGCAGAUGAUCCUGUCUAAUUGCCUUCAUUCGUUGUCAAUUUUGGGUGGAUUGUUCAUUAGAGCUUUAUGUUGGUUGUAUAUAUAUUGUCACAUCAUGUGACUAUUAAUGGACGACUGAUUCUCAUACGCAACAUUAAAAUUAUUCACCAAUUUCCCAAUGAUUAGUGCUGCCAUAAAGGAAAUCGGUUUAUUACGAUCUUAAGCUCUCUGUGACCUUCUGCAAUAAGUAUCUUGUAUAAUUAAAGUAUAAUAUUAGGUUAUCAGAUGAUUCAAAAUGUCAGAUGCAUGAUCAUAAAAUGAAAAUCUGUAUAUUUCUUGUGAGUAUAAUUGAGGAUAGAAGGUUGAUUUAAAAUGAUUGCUAUGAUAUUCAAAAUAUGUCUACCGUAAAAUGUUUUCAACUUGAAAGUGUAAAUAUUAUAAUAUGAACAUUCAAUCUUCUAAAUAACUAAUAGAUGUUAAGAUUCAUUUUUUUGACCAAAUUGGUGCUCAAUAUUUGCUUUUUGUUACAGUGCUUAAGAUUAUCAAGUAAAAAGCUUCUAAACAAUUUUGAUGCUCAAAAAGGCUUCUUUCUAUUUUUUUUUUAGGUAAAUAUUUGAAUCAUACAUUCGAUGCUUUGUAGAGUUCGAGUAGUUCAAAUUGGAUGGUAUGAAAGAAGUUAAUUAUCUAUUCAGAAGCUUAAAAGAUUUGAUUACCAUGCUGAUGUGAUUUGGGAUGGAUUGAUGCUGAUAUGUAAAAUUAUUUUACACCGAUAAUUCUUAAUAUUAAUGUAAAGAAAAAAAUAUAAAGUGACGUAAAUAAUUAUUUUUUACAAGCAAAUAGUAAUUGAAAAAGAAAAUUCCUUAACAUUACAGCGAAACUUGAAUGCGACACACUCAUUUUGUAGAUGUUUUCAUUCAUGAACUGCAUAAAUCACGUGCUUAAAAUUAAAUCCCCUAGAAAUGACCAAAAGAAAAAUCUUAUCACUUAUCAUUCACUAUAAAACUACAAGUUUCUUCAUAUCUUUAAUAAUGAAUCCAUACUAAAAUGUUCUUAUUGUGACGUUGAAGUUUCUUCACAAUUUAAAUGUGUAAAAAGAUAGGUGGCAUUUCAUAUGGGAAGGUAUAAAACCUUCCUACCAUGGGUCACACAAGAUAAAUGGUUAGAUUGUGCAUUUCUAUUAAAGCUUAUCAUGUUCUCCCACAUCUGAUCUCAAUAGCUUCACUUUCCAAACUUUUCUCAUCUUGCUCCCAGCUUUGUGGCCGUCUCCCUCCAGGCUCCAUCUCCCACAACCAGCAACCACCUUCAAAGAAACACCACCAAUAAUUGAAACCUCUUUAAGUGUGUGAACCAAAGCAUGACUUACCUUCAUUUCUCUUCCACUGCAAUUCAAAAUCACACCUCUCACAAAAACAUCCAACUUUCUUCUUCACCAAAUCUACUCACAAGUAAUAAAAUUGCAGAUUUACCCAUCAUAUCAAUCGAAAGUGCUAAGCACCGGAAGUGCUAAAAGAGCUAGCUGUUACAACCAAACAAAAGGUUCCUGCCAACCUUAUAAAACAAGCAGUGGCAAGGAACAAGUAGAAAAUAAGCACAGAUAUACAUGGAAGGGCGGAAACAAGCCAAACUCCAUAAAAGUAAAUUUACAAAAUCCCUCCCAUAGAACCGCACCAACAAUAACGCUCCAGCUACAACAGCACAAAAAGGCAGAUUCAAAAAGACAGCCGUGUUCAUCUUCUGUUUAGACAUUCUCGUGGAUUCCACGUCCACUCAUAGAAGAGGAAAGAAGCUAUCUUCAACCUACUCAACAUCCAAACCCAAGAAAGCGCUUUAAUUUCAUUCACUAUUUUAGUUUGUUUACUCUAAUUUUCAAACCAUAGUUAAAUCAUAUGAAAAAUUAAUUAAAAAACUAUAAUGUUGGAGAAGAUACUCGGAGAUUCAUGAAUGAGAGCUGUUUGAGAAGAUCUGUGUCAUUCAAGCUAUUGCAGAGCUGGCGUGGUGGGAGGAGAAUUGGUGGUGUGUUUUGAUGUUGUUGGUGGUGGGGAGGAGAGAGAAGGGUGGUGGAAGGUGUAAAAGAAAUAAUCCAGUGUUACAAGUGUAUGAUAAGAUGGUGUUUUCAAAUUAAUCUAAUGGCUAAAACAAAUUUUCCCAUGGUGGGAAGGUUUUAUACCUUCCCAUGUGAACAACCACCAAAAAGAUAUUCAUUCUUAUUUAUUUUAUGAAAUGCUGGUGAUUGGAGAUAACUCUUUUCACUUAUUCAUGGGAUGGGAGGGAGUAAGCGUUGCUUCAUAUUUGUUAAUUUGUUUUAUUUAUUUUUAUAAUAAACUGAUGUUCAACUUCUCUCACUCUAAAGUUGCAUAACGUCUGUACUAGUGAGUUUAACUCAAUUGGUAGGAACAAUGAAUAAUAUAUGCAAGGUUCAGGGUUCAAAUCCUGACCACUACAAAAAAGUCGCAUAAUGUUUUGUUUAAGACAAAAUUGAGUUUAAAGCUUAUUAUUUUUAUAAGAUUGUAUGAUAAAAAAAAAGUUUGGUAACAGUCAUUUUUACAGCUUAUUUUCAUGAACUAACCCAGUUUGGAUUAGCUUAUUUUAGAGCUUAUGCAAAUAAGCUUGUUAAUAUAUUAUUUAUAAAUGUGUGUUAAUGUAUUAUUUAUAAGCUUGUUAACGUAGUUUAUGAAAAAAUAGUUUAUGAAGGUACACUUUUCAUUGGUGAGAACUUAUGAAUUAAGAUAAAAGCUUACUUAUUUGCAUAAGCUCUUUUUCAUAAGCUCAAAAUAAGCUCUAUCCAAACGGGGCCUUAAACGAAUUUAAAUAACUUAACUCAAAUAGCUUAUAGUUUAUAAUUUUUUAUCUUCAUUUUACCCCUGCAAUCUUAAUUAAAAAAAAAAAUUACUAUAAUUAAAUGUAUUUUUUGUCAUUUUAUAUCUAUUAGCUACUUCAAUUGUUAAUUUUUUUCAAACACUAUAAAUUCAAUUAAUUAACUUAUCCGUUAUCAAUUAUAAGCUAGAAUAUAAAUCAUCAAUUAUAAAUUUAUCAUCUAUAAACUAUCUUAUCAGUUAUCCACCUUUUUAUACCAAACUGACCCAUAAUGUACACAUAAAAUUAUACUUUGUGUCUUUCGAAAGUGUAAUAAUAAUAACACGGUUUUUACUAUGUAUAAAUAUAAUUUAUCGGUUAAAAAUAAGAAUCAACGGUGUCCUAACUCCUAACAUCUUCAUGGCCAUCCUUAUUGGUGCCAGCAACAGACAGAUAUAUAUGUGAGUUGUUUGAAAAUUAUACCACCCAAGAAUCACAAAGAAGUGCUGUUCAAUUCAAAGUUUGUGGCGCUCUGUAACUAUACUAUACUAUUCAAUAUUUAUAAAGAAAAAAUAAAUAAACAAUUUUAACAUUGUAAUACAAUCAUACAAAAUUUUAAAUAUUGAGCAGAAUGCUAAAAGCAUAUAUUCAAUUCCAUUUUAAUUUGUUCUCUUCUCUUUUGUUAUCUUUUGUCUAAUAUGAGGUUGGGACCUUAAUUGUAGGUGGCAUUUAACGUGCAUAAAUAUUAAAUAUGUGCAUGUUUAGUCAAUUUUGCAAAAGUGUAUGCUGUAAUUUUGACAAAAAUUAUGUUUUAAAACUUUAACAAAAUCACAAAGUGACAAACAAAGUCAAUGUUAUAAUUUCGUUCAAGGAAAUGUUUAAGACCUUUAAAUAAUAUAUUUUUAUGAAAAUCAUUGUAUUUAAUGCAUUGGAAAUUGAAAUAAAUAGUGGAUAAUUUCUUAAAUUAGAAUGUUUAAAAAGUGUCUGGAGGCACUCAUUAGCAAGACCAUUUCAUCAAACUCAAGUCCUGCAUUAUGUAGCAAAAUCAUUGGGGUCAGUGGUCUCUAAGACUCUAAGAUAUUUUAAUACCAAAGUUCUAUAACCAAACUCAUCACAUGCUUCACUAUAAUCAAAAGCGCUGGCAAAAAGAGAAAAAGGGACUUCUAUAAUAUCAGAUAAUUAACAAGGAGGUCAUUAUGGACAAACACAAAUAACCAAAAAGUAUAUAUAUCCCUAAUCUCAUAUGUGGCAAACAUAUGAUACAGAAAAGGAAAAAAAACAAGGUAAACAAAACCCUCCACUAACUCUACAUCAUAAAAGGCAAAAGCACUAAGAAGACUAAAGAAAAAGUCAGAUACAUAGAUAGGUACAUCAAAACUGUCACAGAUAUUUACACACUAUAUACUGUACAUGAAGUAACCUCUCCAUUAGAUAUUUUGUGCAUGCUUCAAUCAUUGCUCUUACCAUAAGCAAGAUGCAUCAUCUUCAGGAAUUAAAGGACUCCUACAAAGUGGACAUGUAAUGUUCCAAUAAUCCAACCACUUCUCCAAACACACUUUAUGAAAAACAUGGCCACAUGAUAUGCAAUAGUUUAUCUCUGAUUCAGGUUCAAAUUGAGUGAGACACACUGAGCAAUCAUGUUCAGGUUCUUUGCAGCUAUUACACACACUAUCAAACCUAAGUGUUGGUGUUCUGCUUCUGAACUCUUCAACGAAAUCAUCUGAAGGACUUAGAUGGAUUUCAUAUGACUCAGGUAUGUUUUGAGGAAUGUAGUCUUGGGAAGGAGAGGAAGAUGGUGAAGCAAUGAUACCAACAAUGUGCAGGAUAGUCCUUAUAAUGCCUUUGAAUAUGGAUAUUGACAUGGCAGUGUUUACUAGAAUGAUGCAUAACACUCCUUCAGAUUGUGCUGGAAGACUUGAUAGGCCCAUUUUGAUGAACAAAUUUGUGAUACACUUUAUGAUGCAAUGUGUAUUUUGAAGCAGAAUUUAUCAAUGGAAACUAUUUUGAUCUUGUUAAUAGUUUACCUGCAAACACAUCAAAAGGGUAUGCUUUAAUAAAAUUGUAACAAAAUAAAUAAAGUAUUGUGUAGACUAAUCAAUCAAAAAGAUUGAAUUGAUUGAACUACUAGUGGUCAAAAUCUCUACAUAGGAGAGAGUAAAAUAACAAUUUGCAAUAUACCCUAAAUUUGGAUAAAGAGAUAGGAACUUUAAAAAUCUCAUUGAAAAUAAAAGGGAAAAUUUAAUUAAUAACUAAUAAUCAGAAUUAAAAAAAUUCACCCCCAAUAGCCUAAACUAGAGAACCAAAUCCUUAAAAUCUAAAAGAAUAGGGAAAAAAACAAGAACUGAGAAAUUCUAACAAAGGGGUUUUACGGAGACAAAUCAAACAAGUAGCAUAUAAUUUGAUGUCAAAGUUUCCAGAUUAAAGAUUAAGCAAACAAGAAUUAAAUAUAAGCAUUGAGGUGGAUUCUUCAUCAACAAAACCUACCAAAAAUUCUUAUGAUCAAGUUUACAUGAGAAAAUAAACAGAUAAAAGAAACUAAAUUAGGAUCUAACAUUUCAUGGAAACAUGUUGGAUUACAAAGGAGAAAAAUAGUAAAGAACCAGAAUAAUGAAGAAAAAAAAUGCAUUUUUAAGACUUACAGAUAAAGGAUUUGAGGAUUUGUGAUGUGGGUCAACAAGAACAAUUUGUGAAGAGGUUGUUUUUGUUACAAGAAGUGAGUUUUUGAUAUUGUGUUUUUCUCUCCCUUUUCUCUUUUGCUUUAUAGAGCCAUAUACCCCACUUAACACUACUAGGCUAGCUAGGGUUGAUUGAUUGAUUAUCUAUUAUUAGUGCAACCUUAGUUUCUUAACCAUGGUUACUAGUUCCUUGUUUUCUGGACAAAAGUGGUUUAACCAUAGUUAGUUCUUUUUUUUAUAUGGAUGGAUCAUAUGGCUAUCCUCUUCUUUGUCUUCUUCAUUUUGUUGUGUUUUACAUAAAAAUCUUUAUUUGAAUUUCAAAAUAAAAAUAUAUUUUGUAUUCUCUUAGAAAUCGUGGUUGGACCUAACACAAUUCCAUAAAAUCGGUUUGUGAGGUGAGGAUCCCCACUUAUAAAUACACUGUCAGACCUUCUUCUUGGCUUGGUUCGUUGACAUAAAUGGUGGAUGACCCGAUAACGAAAACCUAAUAGCAGGUGGUCCAAUGAAUCUUGAAUAGACUUUGAUACCAUCUUAAAAAUCAUUGUUGAGUCUAACACAACUCCACAAAUCCGAUUUGUGAGGUGAGGAUCCCUACUUAUGAACACAUCAUGAGACAUUCUCCAAUCUGAUGUAUCCGAUAUGAGACAUAUUCUUCUUUAUAUAUUUGCAAUUUCAAUUGUUUACAUGUACUGUAUUGUUAUUAAAACACUUGCUAAUUUUUGCUUUUCACCAUUGUCCUAUUAAGAAACACUUAUCGGAGAGAAUGAAAUUUGUUUUGAAAAUUUGAGGCUAUAUUUGUAUUUGAUAAGCUGUUAAAUGAGGAACUAAUAUUUUGGGUGAUUUAUAUAUGAAUUUUAUACUCUAAAUCGCCUAUUUUGUCUUUGAUUUAGAACUAAUAAAGAAUGAAAAGGAGUCGACACAAAAAUGACAUAAGCAAGGUUUUUGAGUUUGAAAAAAAUGAUGCAAUUCUUUACGUACGUACACCUCACAACCGUUUUUGUCAUAGUUUAAGGUGUCUUUUGAGGUGUUGGAAAAACUUAUAAAAAAUGUACAUAUAUCUACAUGAAUUGAAAGGUUGCAGUCAUGCAAGUUGUAACUCUCCCAGUUGAACAAGAUGCAAAAUUUUCAACGAAGCACAUUCCUACAUCACAAUUAUGUAGGGGUCGUGUCAAAGCACAAAAAAUAUUGUCCUUGGAUAUUUUCUAUAAAUUGAAGUCUCAACCCCUAUUUUAUCAUUUUGGAUCAUACUUUGAAAAUGAGAUGAUACUCAGAAUUAAUAUGUGGACGUUGAUAGCCAGCUGGGACUACAUGCGAGUUUAGUUUUCAAGCAUUCUUUUAUAGAUUCAUUUGUGAUUUAUGUUAAUUAUAUCAUGACUUUUAUUACAUGAGAACAUUUACCUAGUUUAACUAAAUUGUACGAUUAAUAUUGUAUAUGUAAUAACUUUGGUGUUUAACUAAAUUCAUAGUUAGUUCUUUAAGUUUUUCGUUUUUUCUAAAGUGGUCAUUUAAGUUUCAAAAAUUUCAAAGAAGUCAUUUAAGUUUCAAAAGUCUCAAACAAGUCAUUUUAGUUUUUGAAUCGUUUCAAACAAGUCCUUUUAAAGGAUGAUGGUGAUGAUUCAAAUGAUAGCAACAAAGAGCAUUAUUCAUCAUUUGUCAUGCAUGAAAAGAUGACUAAUUUUAAGUGGGUGUUAGGAGUCAGAUUUGGUACCAAAGAUGAGUUCAAUGAAGCAAUUACCAACUAUGUUAUCUACAAUAGGACUUGUUUGAAACGAUUCAAAAACUAAAAGUACUUGUUUGAGACUUUUGAAACUUAAAGGACCACUUUAGAAAAAACGAAAAACUUAAAAGACAUUUAGAUGUAUUUGACCAAAACUAAACUAAAUUCAUAGUUAUAGAUAUAGUGGAUCUUAUGUUUUAAUGAAUUCUUAGCCAAAAUUUAAUAAGUUAAUUUUUUUUUAAGAGAAUAAGUUAAUUAUUUGAUCCCAUAAAAAAAAUUAAUUAUUUGAUAACAUUUUUUCCCGCAGCCAGUUAAUUGAUAGUGAGGGUUGUCCUGAUCAUAACUUAAUCUCUUUGUUCAAUCAGCAUGAGCAUGCUAGUUAAUACGUUGUGUAUAAUUUUCUUGACGGUUUCUUCGUGUGAAAGCGACAAUAGUUAGAUUGGGAAAAGAUUGUUAAUAUUUUAUUUUUUUGGUCUAGAAGAUUGUUAAUAUUUUUACUCACACUGAUGAAUAUAUUAAUAUGAUUAGAAUGAGUGCAUGAUAUAAGGCAGGUGGUAAAAAUCCACAGAUUGCUGGAAAAUCUAAAUGGCAAAACAUAAAAGUUAAAAAAUUGCUUUUUAGUUUAGACUAAAUGAUAUGCUGUCACACAUAUGAAAUGGACAUUUAAUACCCUCAACUGUAGUUAAUUGCAUUUCGCUGCUUAAUUUUCUUUUUGGAACGAAUGGUAGUUAAUAUCAAUGGAGUAUUUUGAUCAUUUAUGUGUGUUAUGCAAAUCAUUAAGUGUAAACAGAAAUUUUUCAAAAGUUAAUGCACCUGCAAAUAUGAAGAGAAAAUUGCUUUUCUGACACAUGAAACUUCACUAUAAUACAGGUAAAAUACUUAAAUGUCUCUAGCGGUUGUUAACAACCGUUGAGUUAAGCGGCGGCUGUUAACUGCCGUUGUGUUCUUAAUAUAUUCAAAAAACUGACUUUUCUUUAAUACACAUUUUUUAUUUGAAUUGUUUUAUUUGAUAUAAAUAAAUAAAUGCAAAUAAAAACUAAAAUAAAAGAACACAAGUAAUAGAUAUAAAAUCACAUUUUAUUAAUAUAAUAAUACAUUUACAAUGGGGUAAAACUAAAUCUGCUUCGUCGUACCAAUAACAUUGAAAAUAACAUCUUCGUCGUAAAAUAUGCUUUUCAUCCCUGCAAUUAUAGGCCGUUUGAUUUUUCAUCCCUGAGCUUAUUAAUCCUCCCAUUUUGCCCCUGUAAUUACUAAUCAUUUGAAAGUUCGUCCCUCUCCCCGGAUAAUCACUGCCACGUCAUCAAAUUAGCAAAAUGGCAUGGAAAUUGACAAAAAUACCCCUGGCUUAUUUUUAAAAAUUUAAAAAUCUGAAAAUAAUUUUAAAAAAUUAAAAAAAUAUAAUUUUUUGAAAUAUGAAAAAAAUAUAAAAUUAUAUAAUUUUUUAAAAUCUGAAUAUAUAAUUUCGAAAAUUAUUAAAAAAUCUGAUUUUUUUUAAAAAUCAGAAUAUUAAUUUCGAAAAAAUCUGAUUAUAUAUUUUUUAAAAUUAUGUGAAAAAUUAUUUCAUUUUUUUUCGAAAAAGUUAUUUUCAAAAUAUUUUUAGAAUUUUUUUAUUUUUUAAAAUUAUUUUCAGAUUUUUUAAUUUAUAAAAACAAUUUUCAGAAUUUUAAAAAUAAACCAGGGGUAUUUUUGUCAAUUCCCAUGCCAUUUUGCUAAUUUGAUGACGUGGCAGUGAUUAUCCGGGAAGAGGGACGAACUUUCAAAUGAUUAGUAAUUACAAGGGCAGAAUGGGAGGAUUAGUAAGCUCAGGGAUGAAAAAUCAAACGGCCUAUAAUUGCAGGAUGAAAAGCAUAUUUUACCCUUAAAAAUAACAUCUUCGUCGUACAUUUAUUCCUUAAUACGUGGAGUUGUAACGCCCGUUUUGAUUUAUUUAAUUAUUUUAUUGAGUCUAGAAUCUAUUAAGAUGAGUUUAGAAUAUAUUUAUAUGAUUGGUGUGAUUUAUGUGAUUUAAGUGAUUUAUGUGAUUUAAUGAGGUGUUGUGACUUAUUUUAUUGUUUAAUAAAAUAAGAUUUGAAAAUAAAAUAAAUAUUGAGUUGAAGGGUUGUUUUGAGAUUUUAGAGAGUUUUGGGGGAAAAGGAGGAAUAAGAUAGAAUAGAUAGAAGAGAUAUAAAUAGGAGAAGACCUAGUUUAGAAAAGUUAGUACGUACGUUCAGUUUUGGAGAAAAGGAAGAAAAAGCCAAGAGAAGGGAAGAAGACCUAGAGAGCUGCGAUUUCAAUUUCUAAGGUAAGGGUGAGACUAACAUUCAAUUCUAUUAAGUAGUAUAAUUCUGAUGGUUGUAUUUAACAAGUGUAUGAUUAAUUUAGAGAAGUUGGAAAUUAGGGUUAAAGUGAGAAAUUGAGGAUUAAUUGAUGAAAAGUUGUUAGAUUGAUGUAGAAACUAUUUACAGACCUUAGAUAAUCCAUAGGAUGAUUUCAGGAAUCAAUGUUAAGCUUAAAACCAUGCCUUUAGGUGAAUUUUUGUGAAAACUGCAAUUCUGCCAAAGCCAACAUUCAUCGCUCGCCUCCCAAGUGAUGAUCCUCGCCAUAGUGAGGGAUGAUCUUCAUCGCUCGCCUCGCGAGCAAGUUUUGCCCGCCUCGUGAGUUGCACCUUGCAGCUCGCCAUAGCGAGCAGUUCACUCGCCAUAGUGAGUAUGACCAGUGAGGAACCUGAUUUGUGAUUUCACUUGUUAAGUCGAACUUUAGAUGAUUCUGAGUAUCUGAACAUGUAUAAUAAUGAUUAGGCAAGUUUUUAGAUUGAGAUUGAACCUGGGAAAGUUUAAAAAUGGAUUUUUGGAUGGAAAAUGUAAAAUUCCCGAGAGCACCCAGUUUCUUGUUCGCCAAGGCGAAUGCCUUUUUCCUGAACUCGCCAUAGCGAGUAGAGGCUCUCGCCUCGCGAGUUGCCCAGUUACAGAACACCUUGUUAGGUUAAAAGUGACCUUUGUCGCACGAGUUGAUGUGAGUUGAUCUUGGGGGUAAGAAACUAAGUUGUUUAUCUUACUGUUGUUGUUCCAGUAAGUCUGAAUUAUAUGAUUUGAUGUUGUUAAUAAUGUGAUAUAAAUGUAUAUGCAUUACAUGAAUUAUUUAUGAUGUUGAGAUGUUGUUGAUUUGCAUUUGAUAUUGUUAUAUCAUGAACUGUUUUAUAUACUGCCUAUGUUGCUGUUUGUUUAUUAACUAAGCUGCAUGACUCGGUCUAAGAUGGAAGAUGAUGUUCCAAAUUAUUGGAUUUAUAUAAGAGGUCGAUUUUUCUAAGAUGUUAAGUUGUUGAGUCCAUGCAUACUCAUUCAUUGUCGGGGGCUUGAUGCCCUAGAGCCUUUGCUCACCACGUUGAGGGCUUGAUGCCCUGGAGCUUUAGCUCAACUAAGUUGAGGGCUUGAUGCCCUGGAUUGGUACCACAUGCAUAUAAGAGGUUUAAGUUGUAUAGUCAAGUCGAAGUUGUUAAGUUGUCAAGAUAUUAAGUUGUGAUUCUAUAUAUAUGAGCUGUUAAUGAAGUGUUAUAUGAUUAUAUUAUUAUCUAUGAUGAUAUUAUGAUGUCUUCAUGUUGUUAAAUAUAAUUGUUGAAUUAUAUGCUUAAUAUUAUUGUUUUGUGAAAUCUCAUCCCUUCUGCUUGGAAAUGUUGCUCUUCGUAUGAGUAACUUGUAGGUGAUCAAGAAUAAGUAGCUGUUGAUUGCUGUCGUGAGUGGCUAUCCCUCACUGUGUCUUUAGGUGCUCUGAUACGUAACAGGAUGGGAACUUUUGUGGCUAUUUUCUAUUCCUUACGUAUUUGAUUAUGAAUUUAUAUGAUUAAGUUGUUAAUUAGAUUUUUAUGAGAUGUUUUGAUGAGGCCUUCGUGCCAAGACUAUUUAUGUUGUUGAAUUUAAUCCGCUGCGAAGUUUUGAAUAAUUUAUGUUGAAGGAUAAAUUGUUAUUUAUCUCAAUUAUGAUUUUUAAGAAGUGUAGCAUUUCGUUUAUGUGUUGAAUACUCUGAUAAUCGUUAUGAAAUUUUUAUGUUGGAAAAACGGGGUGUUACGCGAGUCAUCUUUAUUCUUAGAACUUCUGGAUACUCUUCUCCAAGAUAUUCAUACAGGACAACACCAAGAUGACCCAAAAUUGUUCCUAUCGUCGUACAUUUAUUCCUUAAUAGGUGGAGUCAUCUUUAUUCCUAGAACUUUUGAAUACUCGUCUCAAGAUACUCAUACAAGACAACACCAAGAUGACCCAAAAAAUAUUGUUCCUCACCUUUGCACUCUUGUUGUUUAAUAACUAGACCUUGCACCCGUGCUGCUGCACGGGUCAUAUUGACGGCAAAUAGAAUAUUUAAAUAAAUACAAAAUAAUGUGUUUUUGGUGCAAAUACAAUGUUAAUAGUAAAAAUACAGUAAAAUAGGAGUUCAUGUUAGUACAUUGCGAAAAAUAUAUGAAUAAGAAUUGGUUAAAAAAAGAAGAGAUUAUACAUAUUGCAUGUUUUUCUAGUGCUUUUUAUGAAGCACAUACUUCUCAUAUUGGUGUGUCCCAACGUCAGAUAUGUAUCAUGUCUAAUACCAACACAACAUCAACGCUUAAAAUAAACAAUGAAUUUUACCAUUUUCUUAAAUUAUUAUCAGUGUCAACGCGUCUGAACUUUAUAGUGUUUUUUAUUAUAUAUAUAUAGGCCUAAUUUACCGGCAUGUGUAGCUCUUAUUUUUCUUUAUCUUAAUUAGCUUUAAAUGUCGAAUAUUUUUUUUUUUAUUUUAACAUCUAAUAUAUAUUUAUUUUUUUUGAAUCAGCUAAUAUUCACGUCGAGUAAAUGCAAGAUGCAAACUCACUCGCGGCGGAAAACAAUAGAAUAUAAAUGAUGCCGCAUAUAGAUAGAACACCUCCCAAAAACAAACAAAAUGGACAACCAAAUAAUGAGGCCGGAGUAUACGGACGCGCUAAGCAUCAACCGCACACCCAUGCCUUACAAUCCAAAAAUUAAGGCGUCCGUAAAUGCCAGCAACACACAUAGAGAAGCUGCCAAGGCCUAAAGACCCACCAAUGAAAUCCCACCUAACCAAAACAAUACCCUAGCUGCCCCAUUACUAACAAAGAUAGGAACGGAUACAAUACUAAUACCAGCCAAACAAAAUUCAAGACAUAGGGGUAACUGAACAGGCCGCACAGCAGGAAGAGCAAUAUCCAUGACAGCAACACUAAAAAGCACGCUGCACAUUCCAGAAGCCCACUAAACAGCCAAAAUAUAUAAAACUAACAACCAAUAUAUAAAAGAUCCCCCUGCAUAUCCAAAAAUUAAUAUACAUUCCUCAACAUAAUUAUAGCAGUGAUUACACUUUUCAAGUUCAAAUAAUAAAUGUAGAAGAUGGAAUGAAAUCAUUUAGUUGAUACAGAUGAAAGUUAAAACAAAAAUAUUUAAACAAUGAAGGGGAUCUAAAAUUCACUUUCCAAUCCUUGACAUAUUAAAAUUACUAUCAUUGGUUCCAAAUUACAAUUGGUUAUCUUCAUUGCAAUCAUCUAAACUUAAUCAAAAUUAUGCAUGUGCAAAUAGAAUCGACAUUAUAUAAUUGAUGACUAAUUGAUUCCAUUAACAACAAUAUGUCCCCAACAGCAGCAGGCUGCACAAAAACUAAAAGAACCCCACCAUGAACAUCACAUACUCCCCCAACAUCAGCAGGUUGUGCAAACAUAGACCUGGGCUGUCCACAGCAGACCCUGCAGGAGCAAACAGAAGCUGCUAACAGCACCCACCAACCUAUACAGCACAGGUCAUACCUCAGCACAUCGUACAUCAAUCUAUUGCGAGCUCGGUGGAUCAAGGACACAUCAGGUUGUUCUUCAUGGGAUAAUCUUCUUCCAUAUUUUUGCCAUGGCUCUGCAACAAUAAUUCAAUUUCUGCCGGCGCAUAACUUUGCAACUGAUGGUGAUCCAACACCAAAUCUGCAUGUUUGCAGGGAACAAUAAGGAAUAAGAUAUUAAAAAAAAUCACCAUAUAAAUUAUAAACAUGAACAAAGCUUCAUAAUAUAAAUCAGAUCAGUUUCAUAUUGAGUGGCAGCACGGUCUGCUAUCAUCCUAUAAGAACAACAAUAAUCACGUUGAUUACUAUCUGAACUGUCGCGUCAUUUUUCGGAGAUCAAGGCUAUUUGAUUAGCUUUUGACUCACUAAUUUAUUUCACGACCGAACAUUUAAUUUUUAAAGAAAAGGGGAAAAAAGUUCAGAACACCCCAUAUUGAAAAGAUUUAGGGUUCGGGGGUUAGUUACAUAAAGGGAAGGUAUUAGCACCCUUUACGUCCGUAGUACUCUACGGGAACCUCUUGGUUUUAUUUAAUUUAAUGUGCUAUAACUUGCUUGCUUUUGAAAAGAAAGAAGUAAUGUGAUGAAAAAGAAAAAGAAAGUGAGACCUAAUUUAUCUACAUUUUUUUAUUGUUUGGAAGGACAUGGUCCUCUGCCUACGUACCCGUGAGGGAUCAAAACCUCGUAGUUCGGGGUAAAAAACGACGUUUGAUUGGUUUUGUGUUUUUUAUUAGUUUUUGAAAAAAGGUUUAAAAAUAAAAGCCAAGUGGCAAAUAAGAAUUUGUUUGUGUUUUUUUUAUUAAAAAAGAUAACUCGAAGUAUGAUUAAAUUGAUUGAUAUUUGAUUAAGAAAAUAAAAUAAAAAAAAAGGACGAUCACUUGAUUUAGGAUCAAGGUUUAUUAUGGAAAAAUGUUUUUUUGUGAUUUUUGGUUAUUUGCAUGUUUUUGUGAUUUUUGAAUAAAUAUAUAAACUAACGGAGCAUAAAGAAUAAAAGCGCGGCUACCCUAAGUUAGAAAUAUAAAAUCUAUGACUAUUACAAAAAAACCUAUUUACAUUCUAAGGUCUGCAAUAAAAAUUAAAAUGCUAAAAAUAAAUAAACAAAUACGAAAAGGAAUAAGGAAAAAUAAAAAAAAAAAAAAAAGGUCCAAACACAAGGUGGGGUGCAGUAGUAAACAGGGGUGUGCAGAAAGCAAAAAAAAAAAAAAGAAUUGGGCUUUAAGGAAACGAACCGGGUCGCGGGUCAUGGGUCAUGGGCGACCCGGUUUGGGGAUAUAUAAGGGUUGUAAACCCUAAUUCCUUCAUUUCUUCUCCCUCCUUCUCUCUCUUCCGUCCCCUUCUCUCUCUAAACUCUCUGUUCUCUCUCUUCUUCUCCGGUUGGAGAUGGGGUGGCCGGGGGAAUUCCGGC